rnacentral:rRNA from 1 species
UAGGGAAUCUUCGGCAAUGGACGGAAGUCUGACCGAGCAACGCCGCGUGAGUGAAGAAGGUUUUCGGAUCGUAAAGCUCUGUUGUUAGAGAAGAACGUUGGUAGGAGUGGAAAAUCUACCAAGUGACGGUAACUAACCAGAAAGGGACGGCUAACUACGUGCCAGCAGCCGCGGUAAUACGUAGGUCCCGAGCGUUGUCCGGAUUAAUUGGGCGUAAAGCGAGCGCAGGCGGUUCUUUAAGUCUGAAGUUAAAGGCAGUGGCUUAACCAUUGUACGCUUUGGAAACUGGAGGACUUGAGUGCAGAAGGGGGGAGUGGAAUUCCAUGUGUAGCGGUGAAAUGCGUAGAUAUAUGGAGGAACACCGGUGGCGAAAGCGGCUCUCUGGUCUGUAACUGACGCUGAGGCUCGAAAGCGUGGGGAGCAAACAGG